GAUGAAGAACGCAGCGAAAUGCGAUAAGUAAUGUGAAUUGCAGAAUUCAGUGAAUCAUCGAAUCUUUGAACGCACAUUGUGCCCGCCAGUAUUCUGGCGGGCAUGCCUGUUCGAGCGUCAUUUCAACCAUCAAGCCCCAGGCUUGUGUUGGAGCCCUGCGGCUGCCGCAGCCUCCCAAAACCAGUGGCGGGCUCGCUAUCACACCGAGUGCAGUAGUUUACUCUUCGCUCAGGGCGUGUGGCGGGUGCUAGCCGUGAAACCCCCAACUUCUCAAGGUUGACCUCGGAUCAGGUAGGAAUACCCGCUGAACUUAAGCAUAUCAAUAAGCGGAGGA
rnacentral:misc_RNA from 1 species